AGGAUUAAUGGCAUGUAAAUUACUAAACUAUAGGCAAAUUCUGGUUUAAAUACCUAAAUUCAAAGUGUAUUAAGGAAAUUUCUAAACAAUUGAUUUGAUCUGAUUUCGUAACUCCGGCCAUAUUGCCGGAGACUAAAUGAUGACAUGGACCUCCGAAAAAUCCUACGUGGUCACGGCGGGAUUAAACCGAAACACAGUUGCUUUGUGUUUUAAAAAUGUCGUCGUUUGGAUUACCAAACGCAACAAGGUGUCAGCGCAACAAAAAUAAGCCACACAUGUACAUUACCAAAAAUACCCUUGUCGGAAUAUGGCCGAAGUUACGAAAUCAGAUCAAAUCAAUUGUUCAGGAAUUUCCUUAAUACACUUUGAAUUUCGGUAUUUAAAUCAGAAUUGGCCUAUUGUUUAGUAAUUUACAUGCUAUUAACCCUUAAAAUAAAUCUCACAGUUGAAAUUUGAACUUUGAAAGAUUAACUGUGAGAAUUUCAAAGUUCAUAUCCUACCCGCGCCGCACCUAGUCAGUCAAAUUCAAAUAAUAUAAAUGCCUAAAUGUAUUUGAAAAUAAUUUAAUGCUUAGGGACUCAUUAAAAUCAAAAGCCCCAACAUGAGUUUAAAUUAAAUAAAUCAUAGUCCAACUAAACAAAAUUCAGCCCAUUACUGAAUUAAAGGCUUAGCCCAUAACUGGAACCAAUUCCUUUCUCCCUAAAAUUCACGUUCCAUCACUAUUUUCUUUUCUACAUUCUCUCUCUCAAAUUCACGCUCCAUCGCUCUGAAUCUGCAGUCGCAGCUGCCGCCUUCUUGUCCGGCGAAUUCGCUGCCGGCCGCCGCCGACUCCUAUCGGCGUCUCCCUCUCUGUCUUUCUCCUCUCUCUCUCUAUUCUCACCCAAUUGGACCAAUUAACCAGCUCCCUCCAAUUUCACGGCGUCUGACGACCCUCUCUACUCCAAAUAGCCACCAGCGUGUUCUUCGCCGGUGAACACCUGAUUUCACUCAAUUUGUCGCUUCUUACAGGAAUACGAAAGGAGGACAAGGUAAGCUUUUGCCAUUUUAGGCUUUUCAUGCUUGUCGCCGAAUAAUUUAUCGUAAUAUUUUUUUGGAUUCAAGAAUUUUAAGAUAUAGCUGUUCCCCCUAUUUUUUACAGCGUUCAUCGCGAUUGAGGCGUAAGCCAGUCUCUAGAGAGCUUAGAGAUAGACUGCCACCAUUUUCAUAUUGACCGGAUCCAUGGAAGAACCUAAAAGCAAGUCUAGGAGGGAGGGCUCUGAAAAUGAGGAAGUGAAAGUAAGUCACCAUAGAGAGGAUCGAAAGCGU
rnacentral:lncRNA from 1 species